UGAUGAUAGUGAUGAUAAUGAGAUUGAUGAUGAUGAUGAUGAUGAUGAUGAUGGAAAUCUCUGCUCCCAAAGUCUUACCUCCUGCCAGAUUCCACAGUUGAUAUGGACACAGAGCUGGGCAGGACCACAGGGAUUAUCUGUUUAACCCCUUCAUUUUAAAGCUGGGGAUACAGCCUUGGAGAGGUACAGAGGUAUGUCCAAGGUCACACAUCCGAGUUGGGGCAGAGUCAGGGUCCUGCCCUAGCCCCGUCCUGGUCUCUGCCCCACUUGGGCUGCCAGGCCUCCUCUUGCUGCCACAGAUUCUUCUCUUUCCUCCCAGUCCACUGCAGCAGGACCUGGUUCUUGGCUUCUCACCUGUCCCAGCAGACUUUAACUAUGAAUGUUCAUCACUGGGUUUUAAUUAUCCUGCAAGUUCUGCAAGCACUUUCCAGGAGACAUUUUUCUCUAUUAUUUUCCUCCAGAUGAAUGAGUUUGGACUCAUCUGUCUCUGAUAACCAGGAAUAGCCACCUCCUGACAGCACCAACACCUGCUUGCUUCUCAGGGGCUCCUGACCCAUUGUUUCCAGAAACAAAGAUCUCCCCUGGGUGCAUCCCCCUGUACAGGAUGGGGAAACCGAGGCCCAAAGCAGAGGGACCAGCUCGAGGUCACACAGCAGGUCAGCAGCUGAGGCAGAGCCUGAAUGGUCUCUGGACUCCUCGCCCAUGGUGUCACUACGGCACCACUGCAUCUGCCCAGCCUCAAGGAGCCUGUGACACUAUUUCCCAGUGAAGCCAUAAGGUCAAGUUCACCCGUUUCUCACCCAUUCUCCCCUUGAGGGUGGAGACAUCUCAGCAUUUCAGUAUGGCUCCUCAGUGUCCUU
rnacentral:lncRNA from 10 species